UGUACAUUAUAUUAAAAUUUAUUUUCUAUGUAUACCCAAAUUUUCAAGUAUUAGAUUUACUUAGAAAUUCACCAGUGUUAUCAUUAUACAAUUGGCUGGAAUUAACAGUUGCAAUACAGUUAUUCUAGCUUUUCAUAUUCAAUUUGAAUGAUCAGAAAAGUAUAUUAGUCACACAGAAUUAAAUAUUUUAGAUAGUAAGAAUCUUACACUUUAUUAGAUAAUAAAACAUAAUUGAUAUUUGCUUAAGUAACAAAAAAGUUAAGAAAUUGGGUUAUAAGCAAAGGAACAUAAGUGUAAAAUGUGUAGAAAGAUAAAUAUUUUCCAAAUAAAAUUCUAAUAAAAGGCUAAACAUUCUCAAAUAUUUUACAUACAUGAAGAAUAAAUUAUUUCUGGUUAACAUGUUUUUGCCUUAGUGCCAAAAAAGCCAGAACAAAUUUGAUAAGCUCACAUUAAAAUCAAAGUUUUCUAGAUAUGAAUUCUAUAUACCAUCUCUAUAUUUGUUUAGAAUUUUGCAAAAUUCUUAGAAGAUUGCAUGUUAGGGUGGGGGAAGAUAAAUGCUUGCCAAUACUGACAUGGUUAAUUAACAGACAGGCUUGAAAGGAGAAGGCUAGAAGAGGGAAGAUUAUGUCACUAAGCAUAGCUACAAAAGGAAAAGCCACAUGGAAGCAGAGACAAAGGCAAUCCCGACACACAGAGGCAUGUUUGUUGCGGCUCAGGGUUUCUGUUUUUCAAGUGUUCAGAGACGAAUUCCAGCAAGACUUCUGGUUUGAGUCAAGCCUUUCAACCGAGGUGCUUGGCAUACUUAACGGAAAAAGCGAGUACAUUCAGAUUUAGUUUUGCUAGAUAUUAAACUAGAAAACUGGAUGACAGUAAAACCAAUACAGAAACAAAAAGUCAUGUUUCCAGUAAAGAACCGUACACACAAGCAGGUUUUGCUUAUUAAUGUAGCAGGAGAGCAUGGAAAUCGGAGUUCAGACUCUUUAGAAAAGACAAAAGGCAGGGGAGGGGAGAGAAGAAAAGGAGGAAUGCAGAGAAGCCCUCCAAGAAUGAUGAGUGAUUCGUGCAGGAGAGGGAAAUACAGACGUUCCGUCCAUGUGAGAUUCUGCUUCAGGUAUCUUAUACAUGGAGAGCUGACUGCAUCCCUUGUAUAAAAAGUAAAUGAAGACCGGAAGGAAGCAGACUUUGUCCUGCAAACUGAAGCAAAGUUCCAUGCUAAGAAUCAGCAGGUUUUCUAGGUAGGUAAUGCCACCAGUGGAGGAUUAUUACAGUUCUCAAAUCAUGAGGGAAAGAGAUGGAGAAGAGGGAGGGAGGAGGGAAAAUCUUGCAUUCUAAGAGGUAAGAGUCCCCAUUACAAUUGCAAUGCUUCUUUAGACAGCUGAUUUUUCUGGCUGGAAGGCACAUUAAAAAUAACCCUAACAAUAACUUACCAAGACAAUGGAAAUCAAAAGAAAAGAAGGUAGACGUGCAGCUGUCUUAUUAACAUGACAACCAACUACAGCUGAAACAAUACUAUGGUACAGGGACUAGCUCAUGUUAAAGACUGGUUAUUUAGGUAAAGAGGAUCUGGUGCUCUUGGUUUAGCUUCAGUGAUUUUCCAGCACUUAUUAAAGCCAUUGUGCCCUGAACAUGGAGACCCCCAAAUCCUCUAUGUGCCAAAGAUUAAGUUGUAGAGAAUUACAUCAAUGUUUGCUGUUGGUGUGCACCACAGAUGAGACCAAGCUUCCUGGUCCGGCUAAGUGGAAUCUUCCAUGCACUGUGCACCACUCAGCUAGAAAGUCAACUAAGCAGAAAGGAGAUAAGGAAUGGCUAUGGAAUACCUGACUUCUUUAUCUUGGUUAUGUGUCCACAAUUUUCAUAAAAAUAAAUAAUACACAUUAAGUCAAAAUCUGGGCUCAAAUGUGUAACAAGAAAACAAAAGGACAACAAUCUGGUAUUCCGGUUUUUUUUUUUUUUUUGAGACGGAGUCUCGCUCUGUUGCCCAGGCUGGAGUGCAGUGACGUGAUCUCGGCUCACUACAAGCUCCGCCUCCCAGGUUCACACCUUAGCCUCCCGAGUAGCUGGGACUACAGGCGCCCGCCACCACGCCCGCCUAAUGUUUUAAUUUUUUAGUAGAGACGGGGUUUCACCGUGUUGGCCAGGCUGGUCUCGAACUCCUGACCUCAGGUAAUCCACCUGCCUCAGCCUCCCAAAGUGCUGGAAUUACAGGUGUGAGCCACCGCACCCAGCCAACAAUCUGGUAUUCUUAAGGCAAAACAGUAGAAAUCACUUUAAAUAGACACUUUAUUAGAUCCACAGGCGAUAAAAUCCCAGAGCUACUGUUAGGCACGUAAAUAUAGACCCUGUAAGAAAAAAACAAUUGAGAGUACUAUUAGUUCUAUUAAGAGUUACUUGAGGGAACAUCUUUUUUUAAGAAAACCUAAAAAAGAAAACCUAGAAACUUAGAUUGCUCACUGAUGUCCCAUAUUCCGUGAAACGCCUGCCUACUGAAAAAACAAAUCCCACACCCUUUAUUUUAUUUUCUUAUUUUAGAGACAUGGUCUCAUCUGGUACCCAGGAGGAGUGCACCAUGCAAUGGUAUGAUUACAGCUCACUGUGCCUCAAACUCCCGGGCUCAAGUGACCCUCCUGCCUCAGCCUCCCAAGAAGCUGAAGCUACAGGCAGAUGACACCAUGCCCGGCUAAAUCUUUUUGUAGAGACUAGGUCUCGCUGUGUUGCCUAGGCUAAGAAAACUUUUCAAUAAAAGUUUCGAAUAGCAAAAAUUCUGUGGUCACAAGGUCUAUGUAUAUGCACUAUAGAGACAGGAAGACACAAUUUAAUAUAAAGAACAACAUUUCACUGUUAAAUAAUGCUGUAACCUUAAAAUAUUUAAUUAAUCCAAGACGUUAAAUCUGACUUGAAAUAAUGGUUAAUUUGGGUGGGGGGUGGUACAUGAAUGUUCAUUCUCUCUUUUGGAUCAAAAAUCGCGAAAGUAAAAUAACUCCUUAAAAGGAGUUUAAGCAAUUGAAGCAGAAAGAUUACAACUGAAACACCUUCCAUUUUAUCCAUAAAAUAUUUCCUGUCUUGAAUCUCAUUAAAAUCCCUAAUAACUAUAGUUCAAUUAUAGUAUCUUAUCAAAUUUCCAAUUCUAUCAAUUAUAACGUACACAAUUACUUUAUUUACUACUAAGAAAGAAAAAGUGCCAAUUAAACUAUGAUACUUCAUCUACUGGAAAUUGUAAGAUGCUUUCCAAUUUCAGAGAUGUUAAAAUAUUUCAGAAAGUGUUGGAAUCAAUGAAAUGCAGUAUCUGUCAACGACUUAUUUUAUAAAUUUAUUUUCUUUUCAGGUUGAUUUAAAUAGAUACAAAAUAGCUUACCUGCUAAAUAUUUAAUAUU
rnacentral:lncRNA from 10 species